rnacentral:lncRNA from 1 species
UGCUCAUUGCCCUUAGCGAUCUGUGUCUGCUCCUCCCAAUACUCCGGCCCCUCCUGCUCCAUCCACGGCGCCCGCGGCUCAGCUCUCGGAUUCUCCGCGUCGCUGUCGAAGCGCACGAACUGCGUGUCGUCCACGUAGCCGACAGCGAUGAACCGGGGCUCCCCGAGGCCGGGCCGGGACACGGCGGUGUGGAAAUACCUCAUCGAGUGUGGGCCUGGGGGCGGUGCGCGGUGAGACCCCGACCUCCUCACCAGACCCCGGGCGGCUGCGCGGGCUGAGAGGGGAGCAGGGCGUGGGGGCCAGGGCGGCCGCCAGCAGCAGGAGCAGCGUGCGUGGUGCCAUCGGGCUGCGUGGACUUUAUAUCCAGCGUCCGCAGCGACGCUGAUUGGUUCCUGGUAAUCGCGCCACCCAAUGGGGGUAAGAGCUGACGGAACCUGGUAAAGAGAACUGAGAAGCCCCUGAAGCCUGUGCUGUUGCUUGCUGAGAAACUGACAAAGCUCUCCCUAGUCCACACCAACAGAGAUCUGGGAAGGAUGAAUCUCUCCUGAGAACACAGGAAGUACAGACCAAGCAGUUUCUAAUUCUAUUAAAAAUGACAGACUUCUCCGUUUCCUAGACAACCACUGUGGUAUACUGAUUUUAUUGGGAACAGAGGACCCAGGGAAGCAUCAGUCUUUUCUGCCCAGUCCAGAAGAUCCAAAGCAAGACAAUCAACUCGCCAGUUGUCCACAGUUUGUCCAGGGUCCUGGUGACAGACUAGAUGAAAGGCAGAUUUUCACCCAGGUGGUCUGGCUUUGUCACCUUUAAAGCAAGUUCAAAGUGGAGUUCUUCUCUACCCAAUCAUCAUCUGUGAAGAC